CUCUUCCGCUCUUCGCUUCUCUUAAGAUCAAAACGUCUCCUCUCCUACUUCUCCUUCUCUACAGCGUCCAUUGCAGCUCCUUCAAUCUCUCCGACUCUACUGAAACAAUGCAAAUCCGUUUUCCAAGCAAAUCUCGUCCACCAGCAAGCCUUAAUUCAUGGUCUAUUAACCCAUUUCUCCAUCAAUCUUAUCUCCACCUACUUAGCUCUCAGUGCUCCUUUCCAUGCUCUUUCCCUCCUCCAACGCCUUACCCCUACUCCCUCUGCCGUCUUCUGGUGGAAUGCUCUCAUCCGCCGUGCUGUGCGCCUCGGCUUUCUACACCACUCCCUUUCUCUCUUCUGCAGAAUGCUCAGCCUUGGAUGGUCCCCUGACCACUAUACUUUCCCCUUUGUUUUUAAGGCGUGCGGUGAGCUUUCCUCCUUUCGCCAUGGCAGUUCACUCCAUGCUGUUAUCUGCUCAAAUGGGUUUGAUUCUAAUGUUUUUGUUUGCAAUGCGGUGGUGGCCAUGUAUGGCAGGUGUGGCGCAUUGGACCAUGCGCGCCAAAUGUUUGAUGAAAUGUGUAUGAGUGAGAUAUACGAUUUGGUUUCCUGGAAUUCAAUGAUCACCGCUUACAUGCAAAGUGGCGAUUCGAAAAGUGUACUUGGGUUUUUUCGUAGAAUGUGCGAAGUAGGUGACAAAGAUAUCCGACCGGAUCCUGUUAGUCUUGUCAACGUGCUUCCUGCUUGUGCUUCUAUGAAUGCUUGGUUGUGUGGGAAGCAGGUACAUAGCUAUGCAUUGAGGAGUGGCUUGUUUGAAGAUGUCUUUGUGGGUAAUUCACUUGUGGAUAUGUAUGCAAAGUGUGGAAUGAUGCACGAAGCUUACAAGGUUUUUGAGCGGAUGCAGGAGAAGGAUGUGGUUUCUUGGAAUGCAAUGGUUACAGGGUAUUCUCAGAUUGGCAGGUUUGAAGAUGCUCUUACUUUGUUCGAGGCAAUGAGGGAAGAGAACAUUGAGCUGGACGUUGUGUCUUGGAGUGCUGUUAUUGCAGGAUAUGCACAGAGGGGACUUGGCUAUGAAGCAAUGGACGUGUUUAGGCAAAUGCAGGUUUGUGGGUCGAAGCCAAAUGAGGUUACCCUUGUGUCACUUCUUUCUGGUUGUGCCGCGGUUGGAGCAUUGCUUCAAGGGAAGGGGACUCAUUGUUAUGCCAUAAAAUGCAUUUUGAACUUUGAUAGGAGUGAUCCAAGAGAAGAGCAUUUGGCAGUUAACGCCAUAAUUGACAUGUACACAAAGUGCAAAAGUAUCAAAGUUGCCCGUGCCAUUUUUGAUUCUAUUGUGCCAAAGGAUAGGAAUGUAGUGACUUGGACUACUAUGAUUGCUGGGUACUCCCAACACGGAGAAGCUAAUGAUGCAAUAGAACUCUUCUCCCAGAUGCUCAAUCAGGAUAUAUCAGUAAAGCCAAAUGCGUUUACCAUAUCUUGUGCCUUGAUGGCAUGUGCUCGUUUGGCUGCAUUGAGAUUUGGUAGACAAAUCCAUGCUUAUGUAUUGCGCAAUCAUUACGAUGUACUUUUUGUGGCCAAUUGCCUGAUAGAUAUGUAUUCUAAAUCUGGAGAUAUUGAUGUUGCAAGAACUGUGUUUGAUAACAUGAAGCAGAGAAAUGCUGUUUCUUGGACAUCCCUGAUGACAGGUUAUGGCAUGCAUGGGCAAGGCGAAGCAGCACUUAAUGUUUUUGAUGAGAUGCGAAGAGAGGGUCUUGUUCCUGACUGUAUAACGUUCCUUGUUGUGCUCUAUGCUUGCAGCCAUUCAGGAAUGGUUGAUGAAGGGAUUAAAUACUUCAAUGAAAUGAGCAAAAACUUCGGUGUUGUUCCUGGAGAAGAACACUAUGCUUGCAUGGUUGAUCUUUUGGGUCGUGCUGGUCGCUUGGAUGAGGCCAUGAAGCUCAUUGAUGGUAUGCCUAUGGAAACAGGUCCUAUAGUGUGGGUAGCGUUGCUAAGUGGUUGCAGGAAACAUGCUAAUGUGGAACUUGGGGAGUAUGCUGCAAACCGAUUGUUAGAACUGGAGUCAGAAAAUGAUGGAUCUUACACAUUGCUUUCAAACAUAUACGCCAAUGCCAGGCGUUGGAAAGAUGUGAGCAGGAUCAGAUCUUUGAUGAAACAUACAGGGAUUAAGAAGAGGCCUGGUUGUAGUUGGGUCCAAGGGAAGAAAGGCACUGCAACCUUCUUUGUUGGGGACAGGACUCAUCCACAGUCUAAACAAAUAUAUGCAAUCCUCACAGAAUUGAUUCGACGAAUUAAAGUUCUUGGAUAUGUUCCAGAGACUAGCUUUGCUCUCCAUGAUGUGGAUGAUGAAGAGAAAGGUGAUCUUCUUUUUGAACACAGUGAGAAGUUGGCUCUUGCCUAUGGCAUUCUAACAUCAGCUCCAGGCGCACCCAUCAGGAUUACCAAGAAUUUGCGCGUAUGUGGUGAUUGCCACAGUGCCAUUACUCACAUAUCUAUGAUCAUUGAUCAUGAAAUCGUAUUGAGGGACUCGACCCGCUUCCAUCAUUUCAAGAAAGGAUCCUGCUCCUGCAGGGGCUAUUGGUGAUAAAUGGAAUUCUGGAUUUUCAGUUGAGCUUUUAUUCUUUCUUUUUCUUUUUGUCUUCAAUUUUUGGUUAAUAACAGAAAAACCUAUUAAGU
rnacentral:misc_RNA from 1 species